ACACCCAAGAAGACGACCAUGGAAAUCUGGCAGUUUAGGAAAUGAACUGAUAGAUUCCUGAAAAUUUUAAAAUAUUGUUCAUACGAAGAAAACAAGUAAGACAUUUUUGUGGGAGAAACAAAAUUAGAAACUGAAGUAAAAUAUGACAGAGACGGGAGACGAAACACAAGGAUGAUCGACGCGUUCGUAUGCUGAGAAGUUCUACGCGUUCGUAUGCAGAAGUUUGUGAUGGCAAGAUGGUGAGUGGCAAAGUCAUGCGGGAAGUUGAACAGGUAACGGUGUUGAUGUUGUUGUUAAAGGUCAUAUCAAUGAGGAUCAAGUCGAAUUAAAACGCAAUUUUUGGUAACGAGACAUUCACGUAAAACAAAUUACCAAAUUGAAAUGUGGAAUUAAGCGAAGUAAAGAUGAUCGGAAUGAGAAACAUCAAUUAUGGAACAAAAUUGCAAGUUGAGAUCAUACUGCACGUCUGAAACUAUGGAAAAGGAGAAUUUCAUGAUAAACAAAUGAUAACAUCAUCCGAUGUCAUUAAUUUACAAAACCAAAGUUGAAAAUUACACGAAAAGACAAUUUCGGACAAACGACAUUUCCUAAACAUUUGGAAAAAGAAUUACAUCAACCGAUGUCAAUAAUUUGAGAUUGUCAAAGAUACAAAGCAUCCGGAAAAGUCAAUUUUGGACAAAAAAAAUACUGGAUUUACGAACAAUUCACAAUACUCAGCAAGAGAGAAGUCAAUGCACUCUCAAAA